UAAAACAAAUUCUGAUGAAAUUACAAACUUUUUUUCCUUGUGAAAAAAUUAAUAAUAAAGACAGAGUUACAAAUUGUCAUGGUUUUGUAAUUAAAAGUCAGUACAGAGUAGAAGAGAAAAUAAGAUGUUUGGCUUGUAAAAAAAGUUGGAAGAUGUUAUUAAGAAAAAGACAUAAUUUCACACUAAU